rnacentral:rRNA from 1 species
UACGGAGGGGGCUAGCGUUGUUCGGAAUUACUGGGCGUGAAGCGCACGUAGGCGGCUUUGUAAGUCAGAGGUGAAAUCCCGGGGCUCAACCCCGGAACUGCCUUUGAGACUGCAUCGCUUGAAUCCAGGAGAGGUGAGUGGAAUUCCGAGUGUAGAGGUGAAAUUCGUAGAUAUGUGGAGGAACACCGAUGGCGAAGGCAGCCCCCUGGGUUAACACUGACGCUCAUGCACGAAAGCGUGGGGAGCAAACAGG